UCUGCUCAAUGAUUUUUUAAAUUGCUGUGGUAUUUUGACUAUACAAAGGUAUUGUAAUAAGAUUUUAAUUGAAUGCUAAAAGAAUGGAUUAACAGGGAAACUCUUUUUUAAAUUUAAAAAUUAAAGUUAUUAUUUUUUGUGCAGAAACAAAAAUAAAAAUUAAGGACAAGAAGACCCUAAGAAUUUUUAUUUCAAUAGUAAAAUGAAUAUUGUUAUUGAAAUUUAAUUGGGGCGAUUGGAAAAUAUUUUAAACUUUUCUUUAAAAAAAAAAUGAACCAUUAUUAUUGGUAAUAUGAAAAAAUACUCUAGGGAUAACAGCGUAAUAAUUUUUAAUAGUUCAUAUAGACAAAAUAGUUUGCGACCUCGAUGUUGGAUUAGGAUUCUUAUUUAAUGAAGAAGUUAAAUAAAGAAG
rnacentral:rRNA from 1 species